CUUUUGGCAAGAGACCCUUUAGAGCCCCAGAGUGCGCUGUGCAGAGUCUCUAAGGAGAGGACUCCUGAGGCCGAAUUUAUUUGUAUCCCACAGGAGGCUUUUUCUUGGUUGGCAACGUGCUUAAAAAAGAAAGAAAUGCAAAUGGGCAUUUCCACGUGACUGUAUUCUGCUCAGUGCAGUGUCUGCCUGUGUUGCAGACUGAGCUCCGUGGCAUUGCAAAGAAUGCACCAAAGGUUCCCGUAUUUCUAGCGGUUGUCAGGGCGGUGGCUCAUGACAUCGUAAGGCCGUGGCGAUGUGACGGUAAGAAUGUCCCAUGUCAAGUACAAGAUGGCUGUGUGGGACGAGGGGAAGCCAUGGCCUGACAGCUGCCCUUCUGGUCAGCAGUGGAAUUCUGCGGGGUCCAUUAGAAGGCCAUUUCUCUGUAAUGCUUUCUCUGUUGGUUCCAGUCAAGAUGUGGCCGUUGUAUGAAGUAAGUUUGUGGUUGCUGUGAAGCUGGGAGGAAUGUUGACUGCCUUGGGGGUUGAGAGGCCUUGCAGCAAGAUGUGGAGAAAUGUGAGGGUGGUCCCCAUCUGCACGAAGAAGAGCAAGCGCUGCGUUCUGCACCUGGGAUGCGGCAGCCCUGGCUGUACGUACAGCGUGGGGGGGGCGAGGGGCUGGAGAUCAGCCCUGCCAAAAGGGAGGGAUCUGGGCGUUGUGGUUGCUGACAACUUGAAUCUGAGCUGGCAGUGUGCCCUGGGCACAGGGUUUGAGUUUGGGUGGUCCUUUGGGGAGCCAGGGGUUGGACUUGAUGGUCCCUGUGUCCUUUAAGAAG
rnacentral:lncRNA from 1 species